rnacentral:lncRNA from 1 species
UCAACAAGAAGUACCAGAGCCUUUUCACCUUUGAAAUGAUUUUUGCUGUUUUCAGCAUGUUCAGUCAUUCUGGUAGGCUGAUGCUUAGUUUGUUCAUAUGAUAAUUUAUGACAAACUAAAAAAAGGAGUCAAAGAGAGACUGCAAGAUCAAAUCUUGGUUCAGUUCACCAUCUAUGACAAAACCCAACUAUCUCAAAUG